rnacentral:rRNA from 1 species
GAUGAACGCUGGCGGCGUGCUUAACACAUGCAGGUCGAACGGGAAUUACUUUAUUGAAACUUCGGUCGAUUUAAUUUAAUUCUAGUGGCGGACGGGUGAGUAACGCGUGGGUAACCUGCCUUAUACAGGGGGAUAACAGUCAGAAAUGGCUGCUAAUACCGCAUAAGCGCACAGAGCUGCAUGGCUCAGUGUGAAAAACUCCGGUGGUAUAAGAUGGACCCGCGUUGGAUUAGCUUGUUGGUGGGGUAACGGCCCACCAAGGCGACGAUCCAUAGCCGGCCUGAGAGGGUGAACGGCCACAUUGGGACUGAGACACGGCCCAGACUCCUACGGGAGGCAGCAGUGGGGAAUAUUGCACAAUGGGGGAAACCCUGAUGCAGCGACGCCGCGUGAAGGAAGAAGUAUCUCGGUAUGUAAACUUCUAUCAGCAGGGAAGA